rnacentral:rRNA from 2 species
CCUAAUACAUGCAAGUCGAACGCACUGACGUCGACUGAAGCUGCUUGCAGUGGACGUUGAUUGACGUGAGUGGCGGACGGGUGAGUAACACGUGGGUAACCUACCCUUAAGUGGGGGAUAACAUUUGGAAACAGAUGCUAAUACCGCAUAACCAUUCAGACCACAUGGUCUGAAUGGAAAAGACGGCCUUUGGCUGUCACUUUUGGAUGGACCCGCGGCGUAUUAGUUAGUUGGUAAGGUAACGGCUUACCAAGACAAUGAUACGUAGCCGACCUGAGAGGGUGAUCGGCCACAUUGGGACUGAGACACGGCCCAAACUCCUACGGGAGGCAGCAGUAGGGAAUCUUCCACAAUGGACGGAAGUCUGAUGGAGCAACGCCGCGUGAGUGAAGAAGGUUUUAGGAUCGUAAAACUCUGUUGUUGGAGAAGAACAGGGACUAGAGUAACUGUUAGUCCUUUGACGGUAUCCAACCAGAAAGCCACGGCUAACUACGUGCCAGCAGCCGCGGUAAUACGUAGGUGGCAAGCGUUGUCCGGAUUUAUUGGGCGUAAAGCGAGCGCAGGCGGUUUUUUAAGUCUGAUGUGAAAGCCUUCGGCUUAACCGAAGAAGUGCAUUAGAAACUGGGAAACUUGAGUGCAGAAGAGGACAGUGGAACUCCAUGUGUAGCGGUUGAAAUGCGUAGAUAUAUGGAAGAACACCAGUGGCGAAGGCUGCUUGUUCUGGUCUGCAACUG